rnacentral:lncRNA from 1 species
GUUGGAAAUAACCACCAAUAAAGGAGCCAGUCAAGAGAGUCCAAGGUAAACUAGAAAGCAAGUGGCCAGUAAAUCCGAAGACCAGAAGCUUCCAAGGUGGGGGAGGCUCAUGAUCCAGAGCCCCAAACGAUUACCUGACUUGCAAGCAAGCAACCAUUGAGACCCAGGAUGAAGUCAGGUAUGGGGGAUGGUGCAACUAAUCCCAGCACCAUGGAUAUAGAGGAAUAAGGAUCAGCAGUUAAAAGGAUAGCUUUUGCUGCAUAACAAGUUCAGAUCCAGCCUGGGCUACAUGAGACCCUGACAAAAAAUAAGAACCCACAAAGCUAACGUGUGAGAAUGAUUUGCUCUCUGUAUACAGAGGAUAGAGACAGUGUCUACAACACCUCACCUACCUCUGUUAGUGUUUGUCUUGAGGAGACUAAGAAAUCUAAAGGUGCUAAGAGUCACCCAUAGUCCAUAAUCCAUCUCGCCUCUGCCUUAAAGGAAGCGCAUCAAGUAUGAGCAUAGAAUACAGAUGUGUGUUCAUCCAGCUACAAAAGAGCCUUCAUUCUAAGAACUGCUUUGGCAUCUAACAGUGGUCAAUAGACCAAAAAGCUUCCCAGCCUCUAGACACAAAGAAGUGUCAUAGAAAGAUAGUUUUGACUCAGCACCAGGUUGACUGUCUUCCCUUAUUGCUUUUUGUCUUUUGAUAUAAUAUCCCUUGAACGUUAUCUAAAUAGUAGAGAAAUGAGCAAUUGACAAAAAGGAAGAAUUUGGAAGAAAUAUGCAAAUGCCCCACUUGCGCAAAACUUCAAAGUACUGAAGCAUUACACUGGGAAUCAAAGGAAAUGUCUAGACGCCAGUGAAGAUGCUGCGUAGACUGACCACGAUUGUUCUGGGGCCGUUCCUUGCAGCAGGAGUGGGGGAAAGAAGUAACAGGGACAAGGAAGAUGCAAAUGUAUGUGAAUAUAUGUGAUAUUCCAUUGAAUAACAGAAUAUGCAGAAUGUAGAAGAGCUCUCUCCGUUAAUCUCUACAACCCUAAGUGUUAGGGUCCGAGAUUCACAGAAGAGGGGG